GUUGGUAAAGUUCUGCUUUAACUUUCAGUAAAAUAAAAAACUUUCCUAAAUCUUUUCUCAGAACCCACCCAAGGAUUUCAGUUAAAGACUUCCAAAUAACUCAACUGAAGGUGGAUAAUUAGCGCAGCAAAUUUCAUCUCAAAACCUACUGGUAACAGAAAAUGGGAAAAUCGGACUCGUGAUCAGAAGCUUGGAGGAAACAAUAACCCUAAGUAUUGAAUUACUCAACAAUUUUCCAGUAAGACAUCUCUUCCCUGGAUCUUGACAUCUGAUCUAUCAAGUUCUGGGUGAAAUGGAAUAUCCAGUGAAAGCAUGGGAGCCUAUGCACUGGAGAAAGAAUUUAAAGAAGAGAUAAAGGGAGUGUUUGCAAAUAUAGGGUAGGUGUUGCGAAGUUUACUGAGCUUAACUAUAAAGGGCAUGUGACUAUGCAAAAAAUUGCUCAGUAGAGGGGGAUGGAAGCAUAUUAGGUUGAUAAGCAAAAGG
rnacentral:lncRNA from 1 species